GAUGAACGCUGGCGGCGUGCCUAAUACAUGCAAGUCGAGCGAACGGACGAGAAGCUUGCUUCUCUGAUGUUAGCGGCGGACGGGUGAGUAACACGUGGAUAACCUACCUAUAAGACUGGGAUAACUUCGGGAAACCGGAGCUAAUACCGGAUAAUAUUUUGAACCGCAUGGUUCAAAAGUAAAAGACGGUCUUGCUGUCACUUAUAGAUGGAUCCGCGCUGCAUUAGCUAGUUGGUAAGGUAACGGCUUACCAAGGCAACGAUGCAUAGCCGACCUGAGAGGGUGAUCGGCGACACUGGAGCUGAGACACGGUCCAGACUCCUACGGGAGGCAGCAGUAGGGAAUCUUCCGCAAUGGGCGAAAGCCUGACGGAGCAGCGCCGCGUGAGUGAUGAAGGUCUUCGGAUCGUAAGACUCUGUUAUUAGGGAAGAACAUAUGUGUAAGUAACUGUGCACAUCUUGACGGUACCUAAUCAGAAAGCCACGGCUAACUACGUG
rnacentral:rRNA from 1 species